rnacentral:lncRNA from 1 species
UCCUUGCUUUCUCCAGCAAUUUCCUGGCCAGACCAGAAACAGGAGCUGAGUUUGGGAAUAUAUAUAUAUUUUUUUUUUUUUUUCUUUUUUCUGGAUAAAAUUCUUUUCUCAGAAAUUUGUAAUGCAGAUGUAUUCUCCUAGUUUGUGGCUUGCUAUUCAUUUUCUUAAAAAUGUCUUUUGCUAAGCAGAGGUUGUAAUUCUGAAGUAAUUUAAUCAAAAUUUCCCCCUAUAUCGUCAGUACUUUUUGUUUCCUAAGUAAUCUGCCUCCCCAAGGUCUCCCGAGCUUGUCCUUCUGUGUCCUUCUGUGUUCUCUUUUAGAAGCCUUAUAGUUUUGGCUUUUGUGCUUUGGUCUGUGAUCCAUCUCGAAUUAAUUUUUGUGUAUCAGGUAAGGUGGAGGUCAAGGUUCAUUUUUUUGCAUGUUUUCCCAGUUGUUCCAACAUGAUUUGUUGGAAAGACUUUCCUUUCCUCAUUGAAUUGCUUUGGUGCCUUUGUUGAAAGUCAGUUGUCCGUAUCUGUGUGGGUCUAUUUCAGAGGAACCUAAAGAACGUUUGUAUAGACCACAUGUGGCAUGUACUUAAUCUAGGAAAUAACAGUUCACAUUGGUCAACCUUCAUAAGUCUCGAGAGACUGGCCGUCUUGAACUUGUAUAUCAGGGAACAUUUGCGUCACAGGUCACUGAUAGAAGCUGGAUGAGGCCAUUUUUUGCUUAUUUUGUAAAGCUAACCCACAGGAGGCCUACAGAAGUUUCAGCUUUCCCACGUUAAGUGAAAUGUUCUUAUCUACACAGAAAUACACCAUCAAAUCUGUGAGAUCCAGCCUGAGCCUGCAGGCAACUUCAAGAGAACUAAAUAUUUGAACUUCAGUUUUCUUAUUUGAAAACUUGAACAGCAUGGAAUUCAAAAUGACUGAUUUGGAACUCAUUGUAAUUAAAUGUGGGUCAGACCAAAAAAAUAUUACUCUUAAGGAAGUUUUUCUUGAUGCGAAGAAGCUUGUGAAGAAAGAAUUGUUUUAAUAACUUGUGCCUGUUGUAUACAAAAUAUUGUAUACAAAAAUAGAUCACUGACUUUAAACAAGUCUUACCUGUGAGUAGAAUCUCUACGUGGAAAGGUUCUUGUAAAGUUUUACUUAGCAUUUUUACUUAAAUAUAAUGAAAAACCAUUUUCUUUUAAAAGAUUUCUUGAUUUGAAAACCGAAGGAUGAAUUCGAGUAGGAAACACACCAAAAUUAUUCUCUUAGGGGAGUAGAAUAAAUGGUGACGAUCUCCUUUUGACACCCUAAAUUUUAGAAUUUGUGUUUUCACCGUGUGGCAGUGCCAUGAAGUGGCUGGGCACACUGCUCUGUCUGAUGCUGGACUGCCCGGGUUCAGACACCGACUCUGCUGGUCCCCACAGGGACAGAAGUGAGCCCCUCUGUGCGUCCCCCUCCACCCGGGAGAAUCAGAGUGCCUGCCUCAAGUUUAAAGGAGGCGAAAGGCAUAGACCAUGCCUGGGUGAUCAUGGUGAGCACUGUGCAACUGUUGGCCCAUCGGAAUAUUAUAUUGCUUUUACAGUAAGAACACACACAAAAAAGGAAUUUUUUUUAAAACAAGAAAUUAAAAAGCAAACGUAUGUUACAAUAUCCUAUGAGACAAAUCCCUUCACUGUUCAUAGGAGACUCCCCAGUUGGUUGAAUUGGUCAAGUUUGACUGUUGAUUCCCAUUCUCUCCCAAAAGGAUGAAGAAUUAAAGCCUUUUCUUUUGCGCUCCUCUCGGGAGAUGCAUGCCCUGAGGAUACAAGAUGUGCUCAGAUUCACUACUAGAAUUACUUCUGUCUCUAGAAAAGAUUUUACAAGGAAAGCAGUUUCCUGGCCAGAGCAGGAACAGGAGCCGAGUUUGGGAGAUGUGACUGUGACAGGCCUUUUUCCCCCACCCGUGCUUCCCCGCAUGGCUUCGGAAGGAGGGGAGUGUCUGACCCUCUGUGGUCCUGCGUGCCCGGUGAGCAGGCUUGACUAUACCAGAAAGCAAAAUCCAGCUCAGACCUAACAUGAAGGUUGUUAAUGCACUAUGAAUGAGGUAAUUCCAG